rnacentral:misc_RNA from 1 species
GGAAACCCUAAUGGAGCCCCAAUCUGCUUUGGUGAAGCCAGAGGAGAUAUGGGUUAUGCUACAAGUCAGUAUGCAUUGCCAUGCCUGCUCUCAAAAGAUGAAGAAGAAGAUCCUGAAGAUGCAUGGAGUGUUGGAGGCCGAGCCGGACAUGAACAGAUCAGAGGUGAUGGUUAAAGGUGUGUUUGAGCCAGAGGAACUGGCCGAGUAUAUUCAAAAGAGGACGAGGAAGAAAGUGGUCCUUGUGCCGGUGCCGCUACAACCAACAAAAGAGGCCGAAGGAGAAGCCGAAACGGCAGAGAAGAAGACGGAAAGGGAAGAGAAGACGGCUGAGGAGUUGGGAGAAAGAGGGGAGAAGAAAGAGGCAAAAGUGGUACUGUCGGUGAAGAGAAAGAGGUCAAGGAGAUGGGGAGGGAGGUUGGGGCUGACGACACUUUUUCCGUGGCUACAAGAAGGUGGUGUGGUUGA